CCCAGUCCAAAGAGCUUGAAACCUACCAAGCUGAAGGGCAGUGCUGGGCUUUCUCGCCCACAUUUUACCCAAGCACACUUAGGAACCUGGCAACAGGCAGAAUCAUGGCUCCAGCCUAGCUCACAGCAAUGUCAAACUCCUGGGCUCAUGUGAUCCUCCUGCCUCAGACUCCCAAAAGUGCCUAAGAAAUGCCUUUGACGGAGCUGAACUAGUGAUGGCAAAUUCCAAAUCUGAUGCCAACUUCUUGUGUAAAGAGGCUAACUUCUGCCAAGACGGUUGCUGAGUGAAAAGCCGAGGCUACACGUCACCUAUUCCCAGCUUUCCGAAGCUACUGGCAGCCACAGCAGAUCAUCCAGCUUUGGCCGGGGCUGGGUUUGAACCCGCCACCUCCAGCAUAUGGGGCUGGCGCCCUACUCCUUUGAGCCACAGGCACCGCCCGGAUAUUUCAUUGUCUCUGAAUGUGUAAAGGAGCCACUGACCAGACAGAGCUGAAUUUUGGCAUGUGAGUCCUCUGGGAUCGACUGCCCGAACCCUGUUCUAUUUGCCUCUCCUGACACUUGCAUGUCUGUUUAUCAUUUCUAGAACAUGCCGUUAGGCCUGUGGCAAACACCACUGUUUGCUUCCUCCUCCCUGUGCGUCCUGGCUUCCUGUUCAUACGACUCCAGUGCUCUCCAUCUUUUCCAAGGAAUCAUGACUUUAGGGGCGGCUGGGUCCUCCCUAGGCUCAGACGCUGGACCUUCACUGGUCUACAAGAUAAAGAGAUGGAAGUCUGACAGGAAUGGUGGGAAAGUUUACUCUAUAAAGUGACACAAGUCGGGCACAUCCUCUGCACCUUGCCAUGUGUAGGGAGUAUGAGAACUGUGGCUGCCAUGUGGGCAUUACGAGAACUAUUGGCCUGAGGUGACUAGCCCACGCUGAGGAUGACAGAAAGAUGGCCAGAAUACGGUCUUGGGGAAUUCAUGGACUGCCCUAUUGAGAAAAUGAAUUCCUUUACCAUUUAAGUUACUUUUUUUUUUUUUUUUGAGACAGUCUCAUUAUGUACCCUCAGUAGAGUGCUGUGGCAUCACAGCUCGCAGCAACCUCAAACUCUUGGGCUUAAGCAAUUCUUUUGCCUCAGCCUCCCCAAGUAGCUGGGACUACAGGCGCCCGCCACAACACCUGGCUAUUUUUCGUUGUUGUUGUUGCAGUUGUCAUCGUUGUUUAGCUGGCCCUUGGUGUAUACAGCCAGCACCCUACCGACUGAGCUAUGGAUGCCACCUACUUUUUACUUUUUAAAUUAUAUUCACUUGAUUGGCUUAGCACUUAGAUUUACAGAUGCUGUCCACAUGUUGGGGCCCAGAACAUGAUACCCCAAAUUAUGGCAACUUGACAGUUAUGAAAACCACAGAAGCAAGAAAGCCUUUGAAAUUUGAGAUGCUCCGAAGUCUGAAAACUUUUGAGUGCCAACACACUUUAAGGAAAUGCUCAUUGGAGCAUAUUUUGGAUUUUCAGAUUUGGGAUGCUGAACUGGAAAGUGUAAGGCAAAUAUUCCAAAAUGCAAAAAUAUCUGGAAUCUGAACCACUUUUGGUUCCAAAUGUUGUGGCUCAGAAAGUGAUAGCCCCAAAUUCAGUGCUUUGUACACUCUGAACUGAAAAAUACAGCCUCUCUGAUCUCCCCUCCUACACCCCUCUCCAAAGCACAGGGCAGAGUUGUCCCCUUAUCUAUCCAUAGUGCAGACCUACCUAAGAAUUUUUCACUAACAGGUCCCAUAUUGCAGGAAAGAAGACUAAAGUUAGUUAACAAACCUGGACAGACUUUUGUAACAAACCACUGUCUGCCCUGCAGGCCCAAUAGACUUUGUCCCAGACCACUGAAUGUUCUUCAAGCCCAUUGACUUCUCCCUAGAAAGCAUUUAUUGUCCCUCAACUAAGAAUUCCCUCCUUCCCAUAACCUAUUUUGCCAGUAUCCAACCCUCCAUUCUUUCUGUAAUCUCAGGAUGGUAUAGACGCUUCCAAACAUCUUGGGGGUUUGAGUGUUCAUUCUGAAGGCUUCCAUGUACGGGUGUUAAAUAAAUUUAAA